GACGAACGCUGGCGGCGUGCCUAAUACAUGCAAGUCGAACGGUCUUUUCUAUGGAAGCUUGCUUCCACUGAGAAGAUAGUGGCGAACGGGUGAGUAACACGUGGGUAACCUGCCCAUAAGAGGGGGAUAACAUCCGGAAACGGGUGCUAAUACCGCAUAGUUUUCUUGAUCGCGUGAUCGGGAAAGGAAAGACGGCCUUUGUGCUGUCGCUUAUGGAUGGACCCGCGGCGUAUUAGUUAGUUGGUGAGGUAACGGCUCACCAAGACGGUGAUACGUAGCCGAGCUGAGAGUGUGAUCGGCCACAUUGGGACUGAGACACGGCCCAAACUCCUACGGGAGGCAGCAGUAGGGAAUCUUCCGCAAUGGACGAAAGUCUGACGGAGCAACGCCGCGUGAGUGAAGAAGGUUUUCGGAUCGUAAAACUCUGUUGUCAGAGAAGAACAAGUUGGAGAGUAACUGCUCCAGCCUUGACGGUAUCUGACCAGAAAGCCACGGCUAACUACGUGCCAGCCGCCGCGGUAAAAC
rnacentral:rRNA from 1 species